rnacentral:tRNA from 1 species
GUGGGUGUAGCUCAGUGGUAGAGCCCCGGAUUGUGGUUCCGGUUGUCGAGGGUUCGAUCCCCUUCGCCCACC